rnacentral:lncRNA from 10 species
AGCUGGAGCGUUCGGUGGACAGUGAGCAUGCGUACCAUAUCUGAAGUUCGUAAAUUGAAAUUGAACAUGCGUAAUUAAUCUUUCUGAAUAGGAAAAAAUAUAUACACAACAAAACUCUCCGUUUAUGGAACAUGCGCAUUUGUUCUCAGUAAGUUUUUCGUUUUGAAAGUGAGCAUGCGCAUGGUGAGUAGGUUGGUCCGAAGUUUGAACCGGACAGAAGCGCUGGUCGGCGUCUGGCGGAGGAUGUCACUUUGUCACCCAGGCUGGAGUGCGGUGGCAAGAUCUUGGCUCACUGCAGCCUGGACCUCCCAGGCUCAGGGGAUCCUCCCACCUCAGCCUCCCGAGUAGCUGGGACUGCAGGCGCACACCACCACGCCAAGCUAAUGGUUGUUUUUAGAGGUAAUACACCUAGUUUGUGGCUCAGCAUGUCAAUUGUAACAGUGCAACUUGGUCAGUGUGGCAAUCAGAUUGGUUUUGAAGUUUUUGAUGCUUUGCUUAGUGACUCACACAGUUCCCAGGGACUCUGCUCUAUGAGAGAGAAUGA